UUUCUUUAUCUUUGGAAGUACCCUACAUGCCCUGUAUUUUGGUUAAUCGCAUUAGUAUUAAAGAGAAGUAUGGUGUUGUUCAUGCCACACCACGCAUAUAGAAAAUAUAGGAGUUGAUAUGGACCUUUUAGUCUGUUGUACCACCUUCUUGGGGUAAAUGUGAUUGGUUUGUUACUGUAAGGAAUCUGUUGUAAUCACCUUCGUAUUAAUUUAUGUGAGGCUAUUCCUUGUGUAUUACCAUGGCCCUUAACUUUCUUAAUAUUGAGUAAAGUGAUGCGAACAGGAGGUUGGUCCAAGAUGAUCAUACCAUACGUAUUGGAAUGGAAAUAUGGGGCUUCAAUUAACAUUACCAACCCCUAAUUGAGGCUGUAGAUUUGACAUUGUGUAUGAAUUUUAUAAGGCGUGUAAGGCUUAUACCAGGAAAACACUUUGAGGCUUAGGGUCACAGGGAAAUGUUGGGGGUCACAUGAUUCAGUUGUCACAUAUUUUCUUUAACGUGUAUUUUCUGUAAAUAUAUUUUUUUUGGCUGAGUUACAUAUUUUUUUUACUUCUUUUCCUUUCUUAUUUAUAUGAAUGUUUUAUAUAUUUUAGGUAUUUUAAUGAAAAAUAGUUGCUUAAUGGCCCACUUAGGUGAGGGCCUGGGACUUCGUACAUAAUUCACUUAGUUGUAUCUUGUCUUUUUCUUUUUCUCUUUCUUCCCUCCCCUGUGAAAGAGGGCGUUAGGCUUUCAGGUCUCAAAAAUCAUGUUUCUGAGAGGAAGUUCUAGUUCAGAUUUCAGUUGUUGCAGUUGUAAUACGGGUUUGGGGAUUCACAGUUAAAUGACAAUACUAGUGGAGGAUCUAAUGAGUUAGCCAUUCAAUGUGGACAUCUUUUGUUCUCUAUACUUUUGAUGACAGGUUCAUAGUCCAUUUUGGAGGAGAGAAACUGCAGAUUUAACACAAUCAGUUUGGGAAUUGAUUGAUCUGAUCACUAUCUGGGUGGUUCACACGACCUUGAUUGUAUGUUGCCAUGAUUAUCAGGAGCACCUUCAAAUUAAAGUCGACCGAUGCUAUUUCAGCCAGACCAGUCUUUCUGGACUUGGAAGUGCUUUCAGAGAUUCAUGUGGCUUCACCAUAUGGGUUUUCUUGAGGCCAAUCGGAACUGGACUUCGUUACAGCUAACUCACGGCUGUGGUUUUUCAUAGUGUUUGUAAAAGCAAACCUGAAGGUCAGUUCAGAUGAUCUUUGACUACUUUCAGCAAAGUUGGUUUAGGCGGUUGAAAAAACUGUAACUGAGACUGUUCAACAGUUAUGGUUUCUUAACCGUCUGAUCCAGUUUUCAAAAUCUGGUUAGGGGAAUUUGGUACGUAGAGCUUAUUUGUAAUUCAGUGGUAGUUUGGGGUGUUUUUCUUUGUCUUAUGAGGGUCAUGGAGGCUCUCUUAUUGGUAUACUAACACAUCAUCCCGGUGGGUGCUGAGAUCAUUUAUCAAUUUAGCAGAAGAUGGCCAACCAGUGUUUGAAGGAGUACUAUGCAUGAGGGGCUGGGUUUCCUGGUUCAGUGGUUUUUGUAUUUAUCUAUAUUUUUUUCCUUUGUUUCAUUACUGUUUUUUUCCCUUGUGUCACUUCGCUUUUAGUGGGUACCUUGUACAGUAAGGGGAAAAAAGGGUGUACCGUGUACCCAGUCCACAAGGCUCCCGCCACUGCAGGGUCUUAGGGGGGUCAUAAUGUAUGCUGCCUUACCCCCGCUUUUUUGCGGGGUGGCUGCUUACUGACUCGAAACUGCGACCACUAAAUCGCAAUGGAGUAACCUUACGGUUGCGCUGAGGCCUGCCUCUGAUACCUUGUUCGAUAAGAAACUUAUAUAAAAGGAAAAUACAAUAAGAUCUUAGUAGUGUAUUAGUAUCUACUAAAGACUUAAAAUUGACACUACAUAAACCACCCCACGAAUUCUAGUUUUUAGUGGAUGAGCAACACCCAGACCAUGGGCUUGGUCUGGCCCAAAGGUCCAGUUGAAGAACUAUGAGCCUGGUUCUUCUUAGGCCUGCGGCUGUA